rnacentral:rRNA from 1 species
UACGUAGGGGGCAAGCGUUGUCCGGAAUUAUUGGGCGUAAAGAGCUCGUAGGCGGUCUGUCGCGUCGGCUGUGAAAACCCAGGGCUCAACCCUGGGCCUGCAGUCGAUACGGGCAGACUAGAGUCCGGCAGGGGAGACUGGAAUUCCUGGUGUAGCGGUGAAAUGCGCAGAUAUCAGGAGGAACACCGGUGGCGAAGGCGGGUCUCUGGGCCGGAACUGACGCUGAGGAGCGAAAGCGUGGGGAGCGAACAGG